AUAUUUUCAAACGAAAAAAAAAUCUGUUCUUAUCAGUUUAAUAUCUGAUACGUCCCCUACCCGGGGACCAUAUAUUAAAUUGAUUUUUGGAACUGGGAGAUGGAAAAGGGGCUUGCCCCGUCCACUCCACGCAUCGACCUGGUAUUGCAGUACCUCCAGGACCGGUGCACCCCUC
rnacentral:snRNA from 1 species